rnacentral:rRNA from 1 species
UACGUAGGGUGCGAGCGUUGUCCGGAAUUAUUGGGCGUAAAGGGCUCGUAGGCGGUCUGUCACGUCGGGAGUGAAAACUCGGGGCUCAACCCCCGAGCCUGCUUCCGAUACGGGCAGACUAGAGGUAUGCAGGGGAGAAUGGAAUUCCUGGUGUAGCGGUGAAAUGCGCAGAUAUCAGGAGGAACACCGAUGGCGAAGGCAGGUCUCUGGGCCACUACUGACGCUGAGAAGCGAAAGCAUGGGGAGCGAACAGG